AUGCACGCUGGCGGCGUGCCUAAUACAUGCCAGUCGAGCGAACAGACGAGGAGCUUGCUCCUUUGACGUUAGCGGCGGACGGGUGAGUAACACGUAGGUAACCUACCUAUAAGACUGGGAUAACUUCGGGAAACCGGAGCUAAUACCGGAUAAUAUUUCGAACCGCAUGGUUCGAUAGUGAAAGAUGGCUUUGCUAUCACUUAUAGAUGGACCUGCGCCGUAUUAGCUAGUUGGUAAGGUAACGGCUUAUCAAGGCAACGAUACGUAGCCGACCUGAGAGGGUGAUCGGCCACACUGGAACUGAGACACGGUCCAGACUCCUACGGGAGGCAGCAGUAGGGAAUCUUCCGCAAUGGGCGAAAGCCUGACGGAGCAACGCCGCGUGAGUGAUGAAGGUCUUCGGAUCGUAAAACUCUGUUAUUAGGGAAGAACAAACGUGUAAGUAACUGUGCACGUCUUGACGGUACCUAAUCAGAAAGCCACGGCUAACUACGUG
rnacentral:rRNA from 1 species